rnacentral:misc_RNA from 1 species
UUAAGUCAGCGGGUAUCCCUACCUGAUCCGAGGUCAACCUAAUAGAAGUUUUAACGGCGCGAACUCCCCUUUUCAUGAGCGAAUUGAAUGCCACAACGCUGAGAAUCGGGUCGUCCAGCCGGUGAAAUCGAGGCGUAAGGGAGCCUUAUCGCCCAAAUACCAAGCCAGGCUUGAGUGGUGUAAUGACGCUCGAACAGGCG